CCGCGUGAGKGAAGAAGGCCUUCGGGUUGUAAAGCUCUUUYCCAAGGGAAGAAAACUUMGKCUCUAACAUAGACUGAGGCUGACGGUACCUUGAUAAGAAGCACCGGCUAACUACGUGCCMGCAGCCGCKGUAAUACGUAGGGKGCKAGCGUKAAUCKGAAUUACUGGGCGUAAAGCGUGCGCARGCGGUUUUGUAAGUCAGAUGUGAAAUCCCCRARCUCAACUUGGGAACUGCGUUUGAAACUACAAGACUAGAAUAUGUCAGAGGGGGGUAGAAUUCCACGUGUAGCAGUGAAAUGCGUAGAGAUGUGGAGGAAUACCAAUGGCGAAGGCAGCCCCCUGGGAUAAUAUUGACGCUCAUGCACGAAAGCGUGGGGAGCAAACAGGAUUAGAUACCCUGGUAGUCCACGCCCUAAACGAUGUCUACUAGUUGUUGGUGGAGUAAAAUCCAUGAGUAACGCAGCUAACGCGUGAAGUAGACCGCCUGGGGAGUACGGUCGCAAGAUUAAAACUCAAA
rnacentral:rRNA from 1 species